rnacentral:rRNA from 1 species
ACGAACGCUGGCGGCGUGCUUAACACAUGCAAGUCGCACGGAAAGGCCCUGCUUUUGUGGGGUGCUCGAGUGGCGAACGGGUGAGUAACACGUGAGUAACCUGCCCUUGACUUUGGGAUAACUUCAGGAAACUGGGGCUAAUACCGGAUAGGAGCUCCUGCUGCAUGGUGGGGGUCGGAAAGUUUCGGCGGUUGGGGAUGGACUCGCGGCUUAUCAGCUUGUUGGUGGGGUAGUGGCUUACCAAGGCUUUGACGGGUAGCCGGCCUGAGAGGGUGACCGGCCACAUUGGGACUGAGAUACGGCCCAGACUCCUACGGGAGGCAGCAGUGGGGAAUAUUGCACAAUGGGCGGAAGCCUGAUGCAGCAACGCCGCGUGCGGGAUGACGGCCUUCGGGUUGUAAACCGCUUUCGCCUGUGACGAAGCGUGAGUGACGGUAAUGGGUAAAGAAGCACCGGCUAACUACGUG